GACGGAGGAUGCAAGUGUUAUCCGGAAUCACUGGGCGUAAAGCGUCUGUAGGUGGUUUAAUAAGUCAACUGUUAAAUCUUGAGGCUCAACCUUCAAAAUCGCAGUCGAAACUAUUAGGCUAGAGUAUAGUAGGGGUAAAGGGAAUUUCCAGUGGAGCGGUGAAAUGCGUAGAGAUUGGAAAGAACACCGAUGGCGAAGGCACUUUACUGGGCUAUUACUAACACUCAGAGACGGAAAGCUAGGGU
rnacentral:rRNA from 1 species